rnacentral:rRNA from 1 species
CGUCGCCUACGGGAGGCAGCAGUGGGGAAUAUUGCACAAUGGGGGGAACCCUGAUCCAGCGACGCCGCGUGAGUGAAGAAGUAUUUCGGUAUGUAAAGCUCUAUCAGCAGGGAAGAAAAUGACGGUACCUGACUAAGAAGCCCCGGCUAACUACGUGCCAGCAGCCGCGGUAAUACGUAGGGGGCAAGCGUUAUCCGGAUUUACUGGGUGUAAGGGGAGCGUAGACGGUGCAGCAAGUCUGAUGUGAAAGGUCGGGGCCCAACCCCGGGACUGCAUUGGCAACUGUUGAACUGGAGUACAGGAGG